GCGGCGGUGGCGCAACUGGUUGACGCAGCGGCCUUAGGAGCCGUGGCCCUUGACGGGCUUGAGGGUUCGAAUCCCUUCCGCCGCACC
rnacentral:tRNA from 1 species